rnacentral:rRNA from 1 species
GACGAACCGUCCGAACGUUAUUCGGAAUCACUGGGCUUAAAGGGUGCGUAGGCGGGCGCGGAAAGUUGGGUGUGAAAUCCCUCGGCUUAACCGAGGAACGGCGCCCAAAACUACCGUGCUCGAGGGAGAUAGAGGUGAGCGGAACUUAGGGUGGAGCGGUGAAAUGCGUUGAUAUCCUAAGGAACACCGGUGGCGAAAGCGGCUCACUGGAUGCUCUUCUGACGCUGAUGCACGAAAGCUAGGGUAGCGAACGGG